GAGUCCUGGGUUGGCAAUGUGCAGUCUGAGUCCUGGGAACCAGGUGUUGGGGUAUGUUCUGAAAAUGAAUUGAGAGUG
ensembl:scaRNA